rnacentral:rRNA from 1 species
UACGUAGGGUGCGAGCGUUAAUCGGAAUUACUGGGCGUAAAGCGUGCGCAGGCGGUUUUGUAAGCCAGAUGUGAAAUCCCCGGGCUUAACCUGGGAACUGCAUUGGUGACUGGCGGGCUAGAGUAUGGCAGAGGGGGGGGUAGAAUUCCACGUGUAGCAGUGAAAUGCGUAGAGAUGUGGAGGAAUACCGAUGGCGAAGGCAGCCCCCUGGGCCAAUACUGACGC